UACGUAGGUGGCAAGCGUUGUCCGGAUUUAUUGGGUUUAAAGGGUGCGUAGGCGGCUUUGUAAGUCAGUGGUGAAAUGUGGCAGCUCAACUGUCAAGGUGCCAUUGAUACUGCAGAGCUUGAGUACAGAUGAGGUAGGCGGAAUUGACGGUGUAGCGGUGAAAUGCUUAGAUAUCGUCAAGAACACCUAUAGCGAAGGCAGCUUACUAGGCUGUAACUGACGCUGAGGCACGAAAGUGUGGGGAUCAAACAGG
rnacentral:rRNA from 1 species